AGGGCAGAAUUUCAUUUCAGAAAUUAAGGCAACCAAAAGUUCAUUAAAAUGCAGAGGGAGUGAAACAGCCCUGUUAAUGUUGUUGAUACGAUUGUGCUGUUUUUUUUUUUUAAGGAUCCAUUUCAAAAAUAGGCAAUAAUUCCAAUCAGUGACAGACACCAAUAUACACUGAGGGGGGUAGCAGCGGGGGAAAGCGUCUACCGUCUAAGGUUAGAUCAAACAGCCAUAAAGCUCUACUUCGGCAUUCUCUUUAAGCUCCACUGAGGGAACAUUAAACCCAACAGGAAGUUUUUAAGAACACUUCUAUUGCAAAUGACAAGAGCAGGGAUAUGCAAUCACCUGAUGGAAAACACCCUUAGCCUAGCAAUGAUGACAACAAAUGGAAACGCUGGCAUUCUGUCACAUAGCUGCCAAUGAAUAUCGACCGUCAAGGAAAAAAACACACUGCAUUGGCUCUGGGGAGGACAUUGGCAAAUAAAAAGGUUCGGAUCCAGGUAUGGAACAGCCCCACAUUUUGUCACUCAGAAAGCUGUGCUGCCUCCCAGGUAAGUCCACUCCAAAAAGGAGGCAGUUCCUAUCCUCCAUGUGGAAUUAGAAUCAAGCCAUCAUGUUUGCAAUUUAAUUAGUGCUCUAUUUCUCAACAAGAUUAUUUUGUAUUAUUUUAUCACAAGUUAGAUAAAAAGUAAUUACAUGUAUACGUUGAAUUGAAUAUAAGGAAACAAAAUUAACACCACUUUAGGUGCUCUCACUAUGCAAUACUAUGUUCUAGUAUCGUGUAUUAGUGAAAUACAUUUUAAGUCUGGGAUAGCAUGGUGGUGCAGUGGGUAGCACUGUCUCCUCACCGCAAGAAGGUCCUGGGUUUGAAUGCAUGUUCUCCCUGUGUCUGCGUGGGUUUCCUCCGGGUAAUCCAGUUUCCUCCCGCAGUCCAAAGACACGCAGGUAGGCUAAUUUUAGACUCUAAAUUGCCCAUAGGUGUGAGUGUGUGUGCCCUGAAAUAGAUUGGUGACCUGUCCAGGGUGUAUACCUUCCUCUCAUACUAUCCAUGCUGGGAUAGACUUCAUCCUAUUCCGCUGGAUAUCUCUUAUUCAGCUUUAGUCUCAUUCAAAAGUCUCAUAAUGUUUUGUUGUUGUUUGAAUUCCUUUGUUCUGUGUGUACAUGCUUGAGCAAAGCAGCCCCCCCCCCCCCCACAAACCUGGUUAACAGUGAUAUCAGCAUCAUCAGACAUUUUCGGAAAACAAUAAACUGCUAUGGGAUGGAUUUUGAAACAGCAUAACAGCAUAACAGCCGAACUUGUGAAGGGAUGAUUUGCUAGUACACAGUCAAGCAUCAGAGAGAACUAGUCGGUUAACUUAAACCAACAUAAUCUCUGAAACCAGAAUGAGCUAGCAAGGCAUCAGUUACAAUAAAACUAGUUGUUCAAAAUAUUGCCAGAUACUUGUUCGCCUGACGACCUAGUUAGAUGUAUAUUUUACCCUAUGGGAACAUUUUGGAAAUGCAGCACUCUAGCUGGUGAGCAUAUUUUAUGCUAGGUGUCUAGGUCAUGGUGAUGUUCUAACCAGACAGAUCUUGCUAGCUGGAAACAUGCCGAAAGGCUGGGCAGAUUCUCCCAGCUUUUGAUUAUCUUUGCCCACUGUCAACUGAUCCAGAUACCAUAAAGAUCAAUCAUCCACACAAGAUCUGUGCAGCAUUGAUGCUUUUGAAAAGGAGCAGUGAAUAUGCACAAAAAGUCUGCCCAACUUUUCACUUAGAAUUAGAAUACGAUAAGAGAAGGAAUGCUCCAGAGUUUCUGUGCAAUCCCAAGAAACUCUGAAAGAUUUUUCACACAGUUCCUGAGGGAAAUGGGGAAGUUUGUGGAAGCUAAAUAUAUUCUUUUAAAAAGUAAGUCAAUCAUUUGUGAAUUGGGAUUCAUUUCAGGGAUAUCUCAUAUUCUCCUAAAAGUUGUCCCAGCAUAUAUUGCCCCUGAAAUAGCAGAAUCUAUAUUGUGGAUAUGCGCAGAUAUGUGUUUCUGAUUAGUCAGAUGUAUAGUCAGGUAUAAGACACCUGCCAGUACCUACUCUUUGAUUUUAGGCGCUUUGUUUCCUUUGGAGUCUGUAGUUGUCAACAUGAGGCCCAGAGUUGUUCCAGUUGAAGUUAAGGAAGUCAUUAUGAGGCUGAGAAAUAAGAAAAAAAAAAAUAAAAAUAAAUAUCAGUUAUAACAAUAUCAGUUAUUACAUAAAUAGGAAGGGCUUUCUGUUUUACAGAAUGAUAUUGACUUCUUGUUAAGAAAGGAGCACACUGCCUUGGAACUAUGAAUGUACUGUAGAUUCUGAGGUGCUGCUGCCAAACUGAAUAACAGUGUACAAAGUAUCUACAAUUGUUUCAUUUGCUUGAGAAGGGAUGCUCCUCAGCCCACGAUUAAACCUUUGGAAGGAGUCAGCUGAACAUAUUUAAUUGGAGAGUUUUAAAGUAAAUCUGUUUUUUUCCCCCCUUUCCUGUUCCUUUGAGAAAUUAACUAUUCCAUUCGCUGCAUAAAUUUUCAGGUUUCACUUGUGCGACACUCGGGGGUGUUGAAUUUUUUAUGACAAAAACGGUCUAAUAAUUGUUGAACAGAUGUAAAUGUUGGAGAGUGGGCUCUGACAGACCUCAUAAAACAGAAUUAGCAUGUUAACCCUGACAAUGCCAUGAGAAGAAGAAGAAGAAGAAGAAGAAGAAGGGGGGAUUGCCUAUGCAUGUUUGGGCCUGCAAUUGAAAUUCUUUCCUUUUUCAAAAUACAUAGGGAUCCACUGCAUGCAGGACAAAAUUGGUAAGUUGUCCAGCUUUGACUAUCCACCAUUUCCUUUCAAACAUAAAAAUAAAACGAAUUGUAAUUUCACUGGUUAGUCUUGCUUUAUCAGCAAUUCUUCUUAAUUCUAGGCAGAAUUAAAACCUCAUAUUUCACUGGUGGCUCCUCUGUUUGCAUGAAAUCAACAGUCGUGUCUGAUCAUACCAUUAUGUAUUCAUAAUAAUUGCUACCACUGCCAUACUUAAUCCAUAAAUAAAUAUUUAUUUAAAUUAGACAAAUGUAUAUAUAUAUAUAUUUUUUUUUUUUUUUUACCCAGUUAGUUAUGAUGUAUGUAAUACAGUAUAGUAUCAUUCAAUGCAGAGAUUGUAAAGAUGACUUAAUUAUUUUAACUGAUGUUCAAGAUUUUUUAUUUUUUUUUCCUGAUAAAAAAGUAAAUUUAAAUAGUAUUCUUUAUGAUAAAAAUGACUGGAAAAUUGUAAGAAAAAAAAUCAUUACAUGACAUUGAGAUAUAGUUGUACAUAUUUUCGCCAUGGCCCGGAUUAAUACUCAAUUCUGAUUGGUUGACGGGUACGUAUUUCUGUAUGUGUACGACAAUAUGUCCAUCGCAAUUCUCAAUCAUUAGGCUGAUACUUUUCAAAAUGCAACGUUAUUGAAGUUGUGUUUUUUUCAUAAAGACAGGGUUACCUCAUGAAUGGAAUUAAUCUCAGUUUGAUAAAUGACAAAUCUGGGUCUGUGCCAUUUGGUUUAAUACCCACCCGUGUUAAUGACAGCUGAAUUACUUAGUUGAUUUAGUUGCUGAGGUAGAAAUUAUCAGUGGAAAUGGUAUUCAACCUUGUUGGUGCUACAGAUUUAACAGAUGACUGGCUCUGUCUUCAUCACCUUUAUUGACCUAACAGCUUUAUUGUAGAAACAUUUUACAUUGAUGUUGACGGUCUUCUUUCUGGUGCUCCGCAUCAGCAUGAGUCCUGACAUGUAUGUGAAUAGGCCUUUCAAUACCCUAGGUCCUGGCAGAGGUCUGCUUACAUGUCAGCCUACAUGUUGCAUAUUAGUUGAGUGUGCCUUAGCCCUUCAGAGGAAUACCAGCUGUGCUAUUUCUGUCCUCCUGACCAGCACUAAUGGCUUUGUCAUCCUCUUCUUGCUCUCUGCCAGCUGGUUUAUAUAGCGUAAUUGUAAUUUUCUUGUUAAGCACGUUGAUCAGAUGUGCUGAUUUCAAAAGCAGCCAUGUCUGCCUCAUGAAAGGACCCUGUCACUGUUAAAAGUCUGUUGUUGGAUGACAACAAUUGUAUGGGGCAUCUUCUGUGAAAGCUUGUUGUUUCGGGCUAGUUUAUCUUAUGCACUUUUUUGCUGUGUUUUCUCGCCAUCCACUCAAACCAAAACUGACAAACCAUAUUUCUAAGAAGUGUCAAAUGAUGAUUGGGCUUAAUCCCUUGGUUGGCUCCUUUCUGGACUUCAGUAACAUUGGCACAUAACAAUAACUUGGCUGGGAAUCAAUUGAUAUUGGUACUUAUGUAGCCAAACUGUGUCUUUCAUUCACAAACAUAGCUUGGCUAGUUCUGCAAUCAUUAAAAUGUCUGGUACAAUGUACAGAAAGGGAAAAAAAACAGAUAAUUACAGAUAGAUUGUUGUUGAAUCCAAACCAGUUU